rnacentral:lncRNA from 1 species
AAGAAAAGCUGCAAUUUCUACUUUUGCUGAAAAUCUUGAGCCGCUGACUUCAAACGCAGGUUGUAUCUGACGGAGAGACCGGUGGUGCCGCGCUCCCCAUCAUCAUCAUCAUCUUCUUCUUCUCCUCCUCCUCUCCUGCGUUCCAUCGUCAACAACAACAACACAAGGAUUUAACGUCUCUAACGUGAGGACGAGAGCACAAAAGUGAUCCCAGCACAACUUUGUUCUGCAGGGCUCUGCAACGGUUGAUUGAUUGAUCAGGAAUUCGAUGCUGGGUUCCUCAUUGCCUGUGGAGUCAGCUACAGCAGCAGCUACAGCAGCAGCUACAGCCAGUCGAUUGAACCAGCUUCAGGCCGACCGGCUUCCCCCGUACAUGGAGACCCCCAGCUGGGCAGGUCAGACUCGUUACUGCACACACACACACACACACACGUACACACACACACACACACACACACAAUCGGAGCUUUCUGCGUCUGCUCCGUGACACUU